AAUAGUUAUCUAAGGGACCUUAACGUCACAACUGGACAGUGUUCAGUCCGAUGUGACCCAACUAGUUCUGAGUACUGUUCUGCGUUAUCUUUAUUUGUCAUAUCACUAUCAUCUUCAUUAUCAUGUUGUCCUCUGCGAUCUAUAUUAUUUAGUCUUUGUUGCUUGUGGAACAGUUUGAUUUUGUACCAGGUUUUGCCUGUUAGACAUUGUGUUUUUUUUCAGACAUCGAUGGUUCUAAUGUACAUCAGGAUUUACAGGAUUCAUUAUAAGCACUAGACGUUUAUUUUUAUCAGUCGAUAGGGAAAUAUUUUCUUUUUGUUCUGCCUUGUCAAGUUUCUAGAUUCUAGUCCGUCCAGGCGCUUUACAUAUACUUUACUGAUCAUAAGAAUAAUAAAUCCUUCGUCCGAGUCAUUUCCAUCUGUGACCCUCAGGGUUAACAGAACAUUUCCACUCGCAUGCAACGAGCUGCAUGCUAGUGCUUGCACACAAGCCACCGUAAAUCCCGACACAUGCUCACUGGCCGAAUUCAAACACCACAACACCAGCGGUGUUGUUCACCCAUUUACGAGCCCGAUUGGUAACCAUGGUGCGGAUGGCCAAACCAAAACUAAAUAUUUUCACACACCGAAACGGGGGAAGGGAGCGAGCCGUGUAAAAGUAUGCGCGCUACGCCACAAACUACUACUACGGGCGGUGUGUGUUUGUUUGUUAUCAUCGUUCUCGUAUCUGCCGUUCGGAGCGUGUGGACAACAACGUGGAAGGAUUUUGGUCCGGCCCUGGUCUGUGUCCCGCCGUAACCAUUAAGCUGAACCAGUGUAAUUGUAAUUGUAGUUGCAGCUGGUUGUACAUAUUAAACGCAAGCCUCUUUGAAGUUGAAGACGACCUGUGAAAAAGACUACCGAAACGGCCACAUCAUUCACAACGGAAAAGGCGUUUGUGUGUGUGUGUGUUUCGUGUGUCCUUGCCGUGCUUUAAAUAAAAUCCGAAAAAAAACUGCACAACAAUAAAACGGAAGAAAAACAAGCGAACGAAGAUGGCUAAAUCUGCAUCCUUCCUGUUUGAGGUCCGGGCACGGUCGGCCUCGGUUAAAGCGAAACCCGUUCGCAGUGUAAAGAGUGCUUCCGCUGCAAUGCGACCCGUGCCAGCAUUUUCGAUCGAAUCGCUCCAGAAGAACACCUACGUAAUGGGGCCACCGAAGGCGCAGAAACAACGAUACAUGAUACAACCGAAGGCGACGUCUUUCAGGAUGUAUUACGAGCGAGGUGACCUGCCAAUCAAGAUGGAGUAUCUGACCGGCGGUGACAAGAUUGCCUGGACGGUGGACAUCGAUAAGCUCGACUACGGUCUGUAUCUGCCGCUGUUCUUUGACGGGCUGUCGGAAACGCGCCACCCGUACAAAACGUACGCCCGGCAGGGUGUGCAGGACCUGUUGGCACACGGUGGCGACAAGAUCUAUCCUGUCAUUCCGCAGCUAAUUAUUCCGAUUAAGAAUGCGCUGAACACACGCAACGUGGAGGUAAUGUGCGUUACGUUGAAAAUAAUUCAGCAGCUCGUCAUGUCGUCGGAUCUGAUCGGACCGGCGCUCGUACCGUUCUACCGUCAGCUGCUUCCAAUGUUUAAUGCCUACAAGGUGAAGAACACCCCCUCCGAUAUUUGCUCCUAUAUCAAAAAUUUAUUUCACCCACCGGCUGGUGGAAUUUCCUACGUAAAACGGUGCAAUUCACAACGCGUUGCCGAUCCUCGUUCCUGUAAAACUCAUUACCUAUUGAUGUGCCCACUUUGUAUCAUUAAUUCUGUCCUGCUCUGCGCUCCCACCCGCCCCAGUCAACUCGGGCGAUGCCAUCGAUUACGGCCAGAAGAACAACAUGAACGUGGGCGACCUAAUUGACGAGACGCUGCAGGUGCUGGAGCGGCACGGCGGUGAGGACGCGUUCAUCAACAUAAAGUACAUGGUACCGACGUACGAGUCAUGCUAUCUAAAUUAAACCACGCGAGUAGUAGUACACCGAGUGAGUGUGGCGGAUCGAUGACCGGCUGAUGAAGCGAAAACAGGCACAAAAGUGGACAUUCCCAACGAACGGACGGAACAACCGAACGGGUCGUUUGUCAAGUGUCAAAGCGUUUUGUGCUUUUGGAUACUCGGACGGCAUCUACACAAAAAACACGCACACAACACACACACACUCAACUGACCAACGAACGCAGCAUAUUGUGCCAAAAUUAGAGUAAACGAAUAAUAUCGAUUCCCCGAUUUUGUAGUAGCAAACAGAGAAUAGGACCACACUGCUGCAGCACACCGACUCCGCAAUACCCGGAAUUGGAGGUAGAUUAGUAGCAAUUCAAGCCUAGAUAGAAUGAUUCGUGCUCGGGAGGUAGUUUUAACAGUAACAGUAAGCGUAACGGUAGGUAAUGCAAUUGGUGUGUUCUUUAGGUAAGAAUAAGGAAAGGAAGAAUUUUAUAAGCUUAUCACGGACAUGAUACGAUUACCAUCGGUAACACUAUUACCACAGCACAUUGAUGAAAGCAGCAUACAUCAUAGAAAAGAUUCUGUUUUCUGUCUUAUAGAGCAAUGUUUUGGGAGAAUUAGUUAUCAGAAUCUAGAAGAAAUGCGCCGUACUUAAUUUUCUCUAAAGGCUUAAUUAUAGAAAGGAAAUAGAUAAGGCAAGCAUAUACUUUUGUCGACUUAUAUUCUGUUACCAACACACUCGUAGAGCAGUUUUGUUACCACAAGCUCAUGUGAAGCUAUCGAUACGCUAAUUAAUAAAUGACUUAUUUUACUUAGUAAUAAA